CAUGGUUUAAAAAGUACAAGGGGUUCAAUACUAAGAACUUAAAAGAUUGAAUUCACCUAAGAGUGUUCAAGAAAAUUUAAUACAUCAAUUAAUUAAUGUAGCACAAAACCCUGGGCUUGUUACUGCAACAUUAGAUAAGCUCUUCCAUCAAUAGGUGACAUUUAUCUUCAAGUUGUCAAGCAAUUUGAGGCUGGAUAGUUUCGUCUAAUAUGAGUGCUUUUAAAUCAUCAUUUGUUAUAUUCUGAAAAGAUAAAUGUAGAGAAAGAUAAAUAGGUAAAAAACAAACAUAUAACAACAACAAUAUAUACAGAGUGUAAUUUCAUAAAUGAAAUCUAUGAAGUGUAAACAUAUAACCUUAUUCCUAAUUUUGUGCAGUAGAAAAAAUAUUUUUGAUAAAUACUUAGCUUCAUCAAAAAGGAAGAAAAUAAGAAAAUAUGACAACAAUAUAGGAAGAAAACAAAGAAAAUGUGAGCAACAGAUAAUAAUACAUAUAAAAAAAACAAUGUGAUAGUGAUACAGGGCCGUCUUAACCCCUAGGCCACUAAAACCAUCGCUCGGGGCCCCACAUAUUUUGGGGCCCCCAUUUUUAAAAACAAUUACUUAUACAUGUUAUUUUAAAAUAUAUAUAUAUAUGUACUAUGAGUAUUAUGGUUCCUACUAAGGAAAUUACAUAUGAGAUGAAAAUAAACCUGAAUUUCAUAAGAAACAAUUUGAUGAAAAUAUGGCGUAAGAAACAAUUUGAUGAAAAUGUGGAUAGCGAAAUCACAAAGUCCCUUGAAGAACCUUUUAGAAUUGAUUGUUUUAUAUAUGUAGAGUAGAUCAAACUAUUUUUCGCUUCAAAAUAGAUUUGAACCAAUUGAAGCAUAUGAAAAUAUUUUUGAUUUCUUAUUUAGAGGUAAAAUAUUGAGACCACUAGAUGAUGAGAAUUUUAAAAAUAUUGUCUUAACUUUGAACUUUAUUUAACAUGUAAUAGUUAUUCUGAUAUUGAUGGUUUAGAUUUAUUUUUUGAAUUAAAAGUGUUAAGGAAAAUAAUACAAGUAGAAGAUAAUGAUCUAAUGAAAAUACUCAAUCAAUAAAAGACUUGAUUCUUUUCCAAAUACACAUAUUGCUUAUAGAAUAAUGUUAACAAUUCUUGUAACCGUUGCCUCAGCCGAAAGAUGUUUUUUCGAAAUUAAAAUUGAUUAAAUCUUCUUUAAGAUCAGCAAUGUCUCAAGAGAGAUAGAAUGAAUUAGCUAUAUUACCAUUUGAAAAAGAAUUAUUAGAACAAAUUGAUUAUAAUACAGUACAUAAUGGCUUCGCAUCUAAAAUAGCUAGAAAAAUAGAUUUUAAAUAAAAGUAUAUAUGAUGAAAAUAAUAAAAUAUUAGGGCCCCUCUCUUCAGUUUCGCUUUAGGCCCCCAAUAUUGUUGAGUCGGCCCUGUGUGAUACCUAAAUAAUACUAUUUUAAUAAGGAGAAGCGUAGUGGAGGCCAUAUUCUAUCUACCUUUCCAUACACAUAAUACGACAACACUCAUAAAUUAUUAGUAUUACUAGACACAAGUGCCCGUGAUAUAUGUUAUUUUUUGUCUCACUUUAUGUGACAUUAAUAGAAUUUAGAUAGUCAAUUAAAUUUUAAUAUGAUUCUUAAAUAUUUUAAGUUGUUAAUUAUUGUAAUUUAUAGUAUUUUUUACAUAAUUUUAAAUAAUAUAUAUUACUUAUCUUGUCCCAAUGUAUGUAGCACAUAUAGAAUUUCAAGAGUCAAUCAAAUGUUGUUAAUUAAUUUGAGAUUUUACAAUACUUUCUACGUAGUUUCUAAAUUAAUUAUUACAUGUUACUUCUUUUGAUCAUUGUAAUUUAUAGUACUUUUUACGUAAAUUUUUAAUAAUAUAUGUUACUUCUCUUAUCCCAAUGUAGGUAGCACAAAUAAAAUUUCAAGAGUCAAUCAAAUGUAGUUAAUUAUUGAGAUUUACAAUAUUUGUACGUAGUUUCCAAAAUUAAAUAAUACAUGUUACCUUUUUUUAUCCCAUUAUAUGUGACACAAAUAGAUUAAUUUUAUGAAUCAAUCGAUUUUUUUAUAUGUUUUAUUACAUAUAUUUUAGGGAUAAGAGUCUGAAAAAUACCCCAACUUUUGGUCGGAUUUGUUGUUGCGAUACUAAACUUUCAUAAGGACCUAUUACCUCCCUAGACUAUUUAAUACCGUAUUUUAAACAUAUAUAUUUGCCUACGUGGACAUAAAAAAUAAUGCAAAAUUAUAAAUAGUAAUGUGUCCUUUUGAAAUGACUCUAAGAAUUCUCUAGACUUGGCUCUUAACUUUCCUUGAAUUUGAAUUUAUGGAUUCAAGGAUUGUGAUUUGUGAUAGGAAGGAUCGCAUGAUGUUUAGGAAUGUUUUAAGAUAGUUAAACAUGUGAAACGAUCAAGAAAUUAUUGUCUGGAAACAAGUCCGCGACGCGGAGAUACAUUUAAAUAUUUGGUCGCGAAAUAAAUUUUGAGGCAGAACGGUCCGUGACCGCUUCGCGACGCGGGGAAGAAUUUUGGGAAAAGGUAGGGCAGGUCCGCGAUGCGGACUGGGACACCAGCUUUUCCCGCCUUUUUCCUUAUUCAUUUUCUAAUCCCAAUUCGCCUAAAUUCGAUUCUUUUUCUCAAAUCCUCUUUAGUUUCAGAUACCCAGUACAUGAACCUAAGAAUCUAAUCAAACAUCGCUAUAAAAUCGACAGGGUUCCAUCAAGAACUCAACAAUCCCAUCAAAUCGCAAUAACUAAAGCCAAUAUCAAGAACAUCAAACUUUCAACCUUUUGGGACCAAUUCACGCUAAAAUAAACAUGUUUGGCGCGUGGGUGAACGAAUUCAACGCUAUGAAAGUUUCACAUACCUCGUAGGAUAGUAUCCUUGGCGAAAUCCACUAACAAAUCGCAAGAACUUGAUGAAUCUUGAACUUUUCUUUUCUUGAGUUCUUUCUCCAAAAAUCCUAGUAUAAUUUGGUAAAGCGUAAACUGAUCCAAUUCUGUUUAGACCCCAAUUAACUUCUAAAAACGAAAAUAAAACAAUUGGGCAUGGAAAAGACCAAAAUACCCCUUAAAAAUCCGAUUUUGACUUUACUUAUCUAGACAGCCCAACUUCCAAUGGGCAUAUCUCCCUCAUACUAAUUCGAAAUCGAGAAAACUCGGUGGCGUUGGAAAGAUAAUUCAAAGAUCUUUCCUACGGUAUUUGGUAGUACACCUAACACAUCCUGAUCUAGGAUUUAUGGUCAUUUAAAGUUGACCCAAAACUCAAACUUAACAUAACUUAAACAGUUUUCCAGAUUUUUCAUUCUUUCCAAAAAUGACUCUUUUUAAUUCCAGCUCUUUCACUUAGCGAGGUGUUACGUUUGCUCUUCUUAGGCGUUUCAUUUGUAACAUAUUUUUCUUUAGGCUUUAAUAUAGGUUCGUACCCUAACUGCAGUGGUGGAAUUAAGCAACAUAUUUUUCUUUAAGAGCAUAUAUUUAUUAAAAAAUACAACAAACAUAAGUUUGAACUCAGGGUUUAGAAAGUACGAGGGGUUCAAUACUAAGAACUUAAAAGAGUGUUCAAGAAAAUUUAAUACAUCAAUUAAUUAAUGUAGCACAAAACCCUGGGCUUGUUACUGCAACAUUAGAUAAGCUCUUCCAUCAAUAGGUGACAAGUUCCUGUAUCAUAUAAUACGUUCAUUUAACAGUAAAUCCUUUGCAUAAACAGAAAUUAUAGAACUGUCGUUUUUCAAUCUGAGCUAAUUAAUUAAAGAAAACCAACAAAAAAGAAAGAAAGUAGUAGUAUUUACAUGCAUAUCUCCAAGUUG
rnacentral:lncRNA from 1 species